AUACCUUUCUCGGCCUUUUGGUUAAGAUCAAGUGUAGUAUCUGUUCUUAUCGGUUUAAUAUCCGAUACGUGGGCCAUCGGUCCACAUGAUAUUAAAUUAAUUUUUGUAGGGGGAGAGGCUGCUACGGUGGCUUGCUUCUGGGCCUCUCGUGUGUAGCUCCGGCGUCACACUACGGCCCUUGCACGGCGCACCCCAC